rnacentral:rRNA from 1 species
AGAGUUUGAUCAUGGCUCAGGACGAACGCUGGCGGCGUGCUUAACACAUGCAAGUCAAGGACUGUAGCAAUACAGGACUGGCGCACGGGUGCGGAACACGUAGGUAAUCUACCCUUUAGGGAAGAACAACCCGUCGAAAGACGGGCUAAAACUUCGUAAUAUCGAGAGAUGGCAUCAUUUUUCGAUCAAGCUUUCUAAGGGAUGAGCCUGCGUCUGAUUAGCUAGUUGGUGAGGUAACGGCUCACCAAGGCUACGAUCAGUAGCUGGUCUGAGAGGAUGAUCAGCCACAUUGGGACUGAGAUACGGCCCAGACUCCUACGGGAGGCAGCAGUGAGGAAUAUUGCUCAAUGGGGGAAACCCUGAAGCAGCAACGCCGCGUGAGGGAUGAAGGCGCUCUGCGUUGUAAACCUCUGUAGUUGGGGACAAAUGUGGGGUUAUUACCCCAUUGAUGGUACCCAAAAAGUAAGGAUCGGCUAACUACGUGCCAGCAGCCGCGGUAAU